rnacentral:rRNA from 1 species
UACGUAGGGUGCGAGCGUUAAUCGGAAUUACUGGGCGUAAAGUGUGCGCAGGCGGCCGCGCAAGUCGAGUGUAAAGCCCCGAGCUUAACUUGGGAAUUGCGCUCGAAACUACGUGGCUGGAGUGUGGCAGAGGAAGGUGGAAUUCCACGUGUAGCGGUGAAAUGCGUAGAGAUGUGGAGGAACACCAAUGGCGAAGGCAGCCUUCUGGGCCAACACUGACGCUCAUGCACGAAAGCGUGGGUAGCAAACAGG